rnacentral:rRNA from 1 species
CCUACGGGUGGCAGCAGUGGGGAAUAUUGCACAAUGGAGGGAACUCUGAUGCAGCGACGCCGCGUGAGUGAAGAAGUUCUUCGUUAUGUAAAGCUCUAUCAGCAGGGAAGAAAGUGACGGUACCUGAAAACGAAGCCCCGGCUAAAUACGUGCCAGCAGCCGCGGUAAUACGUAGGGAGCAAGCGUUAUCCGGAUUUACUGGGUGUAAAGGGUGAGUAGGUGGCGGGGCAAGUCCGCAGUGAAAACCCAAGGCUCAACUAUGGGAAUGCUUUUGAAACUGCUGAGCUAGAGUGCAGGAGAGGCAAGUGGAAUUCUUAGUGUAGCGGUGAAAUGCGUAGAUAUUAGGAGGAACACCAGUGGCGAAGGCGGCUUGCUGGACUGUAACUGACACUGAGGCUCGAAAGCGUGGGGAGCAAACAGGAUUAGAUACCCUUGUAGUC